rnacentral:rRNA from 1 species
UACGUAGGGUGCGAGCGUUGUCCGGAAUUAUUGGGCGUAAAGAGCUCGUAGGCGGUUUGUAACGUCUGCUGUGAAAUCCCGAGGCUCAACCUCGGGCCUGCAGUGGGUACGGGCAGACUGGAGUGCGGUAGGGGAGAAUGGAAUUCCUGGUGUAGCGGUGGAAUGCGCAGAUAUCAGGAGGAACACCGAUGGCGAAGGCAGUUCUCUGGGCCGUAACUGACGCUGAGGAGCGAAAGCGUGGGGAGCGAACAGG